rnacentral:lncRNA from 1 species
AUGCUCCCUUUGCAUGCAACAAGAAGAAACUGUUGACCAUCUCUAUUUUGCUUGUGACUAUACUAAAUGGAUAUGGAAUGAGAUUCUCCAGCGAUUCGAACUCAAUAGAAUGCCACAACCAAACUUGCAUCAAGAAUUAGCUGGCCUCAUGCAAUAUUUUUCAAGAAAAGGGCCUCUUACACAAUUGACAAAGGUUAUAUUCAGAUGCGCUAUUUGGUGGAUGUGGAAGGAAAGAUGUAGUAGAAUCAUUGAUUGUCAACACACAAACAAUGCUCAGCUCUUGACAGAGAUUAUUAGAGACUCAAGAUCAUGUAUGGAGAACGAUCUCAAAAUGGAGCACCUU